rnacentral:rRNA from 1 species
GAUGAACGCUGGCGGCGUGCCUAAUACAUGCAAGUCGAGCGAACAGACGAGGAGCUUGCUCCUCUGACGUUAGCGGCGGACGGGUGAGUAACACGUGGAUAACCUACCUAUAAGACUGGGAUAACUUCGGGAAACCGGAGCUAAUACCGGAUAAUAUAUUGAACCGCAUGGUUCAAUAGUGAAAGACGGUUUUGCUGUCACUUAUAGAUGGAUCCGCGCCGCAUUAGCUAGUUGGUAAGGUAACGGCUUACCAAGGCGACGAUGCGUAGCCGACCUGAGAGGGUGAGCGGCCACACGGGAACUGAGACACGGUCCAGACUCCUACGGGAGGCAGCAGUAGGGAAUCUUCCGCAAUGGGCGAAAGCCGGACGGAGCAACGCCGCGGGAGUGAUGAAGGUCUUCGGAUCGGAAAACUCUGUUAUUAGGGAAGAACAAAUGUGUAAGUAACUAUGCACGUCUUGACGGUACCUAAUCAGAAAGCCACGGCUAACUACGUG